GCCAGUGUGUCGUAGUGGUUUGAGUGUUGGACCAUGACUCUGGAGACCAGGGUUCGAAUCCCCACUCGGCCA
rnacentral:tRNA from 1 species